rnacentral:rRNA from 1 species
UUGGCCUACGGGAGGCAGCAGUGAGGAAUAUUGGUCAAUGGCCGGAAGGCUGAACCAGCCAAGUCGCGUGAGGGACGACUGCCCUAUGGGUUGUAAACCUCUUUUAUAAGGGAAGAAUAAAUGCUACGUGUAGCAUGAUGCCUGUACCUUAUGAAUAAGCAUCGGCUAAUUCCGCGCCAGCAGCCGCGGUAAUACGGAAGGUCCGGGCGUUAUCCGGAUUUAUUGGGUUUAAAGGGAGCGUAGGCCGGCUUUUAAGUCAGCUGUGAAAGUUUGCGGCUCAACCGUAAAAUUGCAAUUGAUACUGG